rnacentral:rRNA from 1 species
CGAACGCUGGCGGCGUGCUUAACACAUGCAAGUCGAACGAGAAGUACGUAGCAAUACGUAUUGUAAAGUGGCGCACGGGUGAGUAACACGUGGGUAAUCUGCCCUCGAGUUUGGGAUAACCCCGCGAAAGCGGGGCUAAUACCGAAUAAGACCACGGGGACCAAAGUCCCUGAGGUAAAAGAUGGCCUCUAUUUAUAAGCUAUCACUUGAGGAUGAGCCCGCGGCCCAUUAGCUAGUUGGUAGGGUAACGGCCUACCAAGGCUAUGAUGGGUAGCUGGUCUGAGAGGACGAUCAGCCACACUGGAACUGAGACACGGUCCAGACUCCUACGGGAGGCAGCAGUGGGGAAUAUUGCGCAAUGGGCGAAAGCCUGACGCAGCAACGCCGCGUGGGGGAUGAAGGUUUUCGGAUUGUAAACCCCUUUCGACCGGAACGAAUCUCCUCUUGGUAAAUAAUCAGGAGGAUCGACGGUACCGGGAGAAGAAGCCACGGCUAACUCUGUGCCAGCAGCCGCGGUAAGACAGAGGUGGCGAGCGUUGUUCGGAUUUAUUGGGCGUAAAGCGAACGCAGGUGGUUUGGUAAGUCAGGGGUGAAAGCCCACAGCUUAACUGUGGCACUGCCUUUGAUACUGCCUUUCUUGAGUGCAUGAGGGGGAAGCGGAAUUCCGAGUGUAGAGGUGAAAUUCGUAGAUAUUCGGAGGAACACCGGUGGCGAAGGCGGCUUCCUGGCAUGUAACUGACACUCAUGUUCGAAAGCGUGGGUAGCAAACAGGAUUAGAUACCCUGGUAGUCCACGCCCUAAGCGAUGGGCACUAGGUGUGGGAGGUAUCGACCCCUUCCGUGCCGCAGCUAACGCAUUAAGUGCCCCGCCUGGGGAGUACGGCCGCAAGGUGAA